rnacentral:rRNA from 1 species
UACGUAGGUGGCGAGCGUUGUCCGGAAUUACUGGGCGUAAAGCGUGCGCAGGCGGUUCGCUAAGACCGAUGUGAAAUCCCCGGGCUUAACCUGGGAACUGCAUUGGUGACUGGCGGGCUAGAGUAUGGCAGAGGGGGGUAGAAUUCCACGUGUAGCAGUGAAAUGCGUAGAGAUGUGGAGGAAUACCGAUGGCGAAGGCAGCCCCCUGGGCCAGUACUGACGCUCAUGCACGAAAGCGUGGGGAGCAAACAGG